rnacentral:piRNA from 1 species
UGGAAAAGCAGUAUGGUGUGUCAUGU